rnacentral:rRNA from 1 species
AGGACGAACGCUGGCGGCGUGCUUAACACAUGCAAGUCGAGCGGUAAGGCCCUUUCGGGGGUACACGAGCGGCGAACGGGUGAGUAACACGUGAGCAAUCUGCCCUCCACUUCGGGAUAAGCCUCGGAAACGGGGUCUAAUACCGGAUAUGACCGCGCUACGCAUGUGGUGUGGUGGAAAGUUCUGGCGGUGGAGGAUGAGCUCGCGGCCUAUCAGCUUGUUGGUGGGGUAAUGGCCUACCAAGGCUUCGACGGGUAGCCGGCCUGAGAGGGUGACCGGGCCAACGACUGGGAACUGAGACACGGCCCAGACUCCUACGGGAGGCAGCAGUGGGAAUAGUUGGACAAUGGGCGAAAGCCUGAUCCAGCAACGCGCGUGAGGAUGACGGCUUCGGGUGUAAACUCUUUCAGCGCCGACGAGCGAGAGUGACGGUAGCGCAGAAGAAGCACGGCAACUACGUGCCAGCAGCGC